rnacentral:rRNA from 1 species
AAUGAACGCUGGCGGCGUGCCUAACACAUGCAAGUCGGAUGUGCCGCAAGGUGCAUGGCAGACGGGUGAGUAACGCGUGGGGAACCUACCUCUUCGUGGGGAAUAACGAUCCGAAAGGAUUGGUAAUACCGCAUGAGACCGACGGCUGGGAUGCUGUCGGUGAAAGCUGGGGACCGGAAACGGCCUGGCGCGAGGAGAGGGUCCUGCGUCUGAUUAGCUAGUUGGUGGGUAACGGCCUACCAAGGCAUCGAUCAGUAGCCGGCCUGAGAGGGUGAUCGGCCACACUGGAACUGAGACACGGUCCAGACUCCUACGGAGGCAGCAGUGGGGAAUUUUGCGCAAUGGACGAAAGUCUGACGCAGCAACGCCGCGUGGGUGAUGAAGGUCUUCGGAUUGUAAAACCCUGUCGUCGGGGACGAAGGUAGGAGGGUUAAUAAGCCCUUUGCUUGAGGUACCCGGAGAGGAAGCCCCGGCU